UCUGCUGCUCAACUCCGCGCCCUCCGCGCGCCCUCCAGCCCGCCACCGCCGCGCCGCUGGGGAGAGAGCUUUUCCUUCCUUCCGCGCUCUCCAGGCGGAUCCGAAUGACUCUGAGCAGAAUCUAACAAGACGCGUCUAUGAAUUACAAUGCCAACUUCAGCUCUUGCUUUCUUCAAUUCAUUAUGAUUCAAUGUUUCAACCCCACCAUGAGGCCACCCACCCACCCACCCACCUCCUGAAAAAUACAUGAUAGGUGGCUGGUCCCAAAGAGGCAUCUCUUGUCACUUGCUCUGGCCUCAAGCAGGGGUUUUCCACCUGCAUACCCUGCUGGGACUGGCCUCUGCUUGGACCGACCCCACCUGUCUUUAAGGCAAAGUCCCCCUCCUCAAGGCUGAAACCACACCACAUCCUCCACCAGCCACGCCUCCGGCCACUCUCCUGGCAGAUCAACGGUUCCUUUUCCUGUGUUCCCACUGGACUUGGCUCCUUCCUCCCUCUGGGCUCUGAUAAGCUGUUUGCCAUUUUGCAGAUUGAUUCAUUCUCGGCAUUAUUCUAAAAAGUAUUAAAGUGGUACUGACAGUCA